rnacentral:tRNA from 1 species
GGGAUGUUAGUUUAAUAUAGAACGGGCGGCUGUUAACCGCCUAGUGUGGUGUGUCAUACAUCUC